rnacentral:sRNA from 1 species
CCAUGUUCCGCACCACUCGCUUCAACGGCCUACUACUACUAAACGCCUUUUCUGUGCGCGGUAGGCUGGUGUGCGACGUUCAGCGUUAGUCAUCAUCAGUAGAACUCUAAACCCGCGCCAUUGCGCGGGUUUUUUU